GGCUCGCGCGCUGCCCGCCGCUUAUUAAACGCGGCCGCGCGGAGUCUCUCUCAUUUACUCACCUGCUAGUUCGGCGACACGCGCCUCCACAACCGCUACUCAAGCCUGUCACUCCGUCUGGUUGCCCACACCGGCCCUAUUUAUACCCGCUGCGGUCACGCCCCCAUCGGGCCACGCCCACUUUAUUUGCCUUCUGCACGCGGACUCCCGAGCCUCGCCUCUAUAGGUAGCAUCCGCUUUGUAAUUGGCUGCCGCCUCGAUGGAUCGUAUGUGACGCAAAGCUAGCACGAGAGACUCGGCGCUCUGGCAACCGCGGCUGAUGGACUACGGGAGCGCGCCCCAGCGAGAACGGCCAGCUGUUCAUAUGCAUUCUGUGCUGUCAGCAACAUUCAACUUGAUUUUCUCAACUGAAAUAGAAACAUUAAAUAGAGGAAAAAUGCGUCAGGAACAUCAAAGAAAAUGUGGAAUAAUGGGCUGCUAAGGCCCACAUUUUACAAUGUAUGUUUACAAGAUUCUUGUUUUACACCAAAUGUUGGUAAAAUGAGGGAGAUAAUUGGAGGAACAGUGACCUAUUCUCUACUGAAGGCAUCUGUCAUCAUAUCACUAAGGUGGAAUGGUACACAGUCAUGAGGAGCUACUGGACUCUCUAUUACACAGAUUGCAAUAGUGGAGAGGAAUCCCUUCUUCCAUCUUUGACUGAUAGGAGACUGUGUCAGUUCCUCUCUGAUGAGGAUCUAGCCUUCGUGAUCCACAUUUUAGCACCUUCAAGUUAGAUUAUUGCAACACAUAGGGCCAUAUGGAAGCAUGACUAGCAAAUUACCUUUGAGGCAAGAAAGACUGAAGAACAUGCAUUACAUCAGUACUCUGUAUGUGCCACUGGUUCCCAUUUGGUUCCAGAUCUAAUUCAAGAUUAGAGUCUUCAUUUUUAAUGGUCUGGGGUCUAGUUUCCCUCAGGACUGACUCCAGAGAUGCUCCAGAAAAUGAGGACAAAAGCUGACUUCCUUUCAGAAAGGGGACAAUGCAAGAUUCAUCUUUUCACACAACCCUUCCUUCAAGGAUGAUGGUAUAAAAAUGCUCUGGUGAUACACCUUGCUGGGGAAAAAAGAAGGAACAAAGAAACAUUGAAAAACACAAAGUAAUACUGUCACACUGAAUGAUGGAGCCUAGAUGCCCUUUAUGGGAAAAUAUUUUUUAAUUUACUUUUGUACAUAGUGCCCAGAAACCUUGUUAU
rnacentral:lncRNA from 1 species